GUCUGUAUGAGAGUUAUAUAAAGUCUGGCCUGCCCAUUGGGGUACUAAAAGGCCGCGGUAUUGUGACCGUGCGAAGGUAGCAUAAUCAUUAGUCUUUUAAUUGGAGGCUGGUAUGAAUGGUCGGACGAGAAGUAAGCUGUCUUUAUCUCAUAGAUUGAAUUUAACUUUUAAGUGAAAAGGCUUAAAUGGGUUAGAGGGACGAUAAGACCCUAUAAAGUUUAUACAUGGAGUUAAUCAAGAGUGAUUUGGAAUAGUAAAGUUCAUUAUUAGCAAGAUGUUUAGUUGGGGUGACUAGAAUAUAAGUUAUAUAACUGUUUUUUGUUUUAAUCAGAGAUAUCUGUUUAUAUGAUCCCUUUUUAGGAUUAGAGAGUAAAUUACUUUAGGGAUAACAGCGUAAUUUUUUUUAAGAGUUCUUAUCGACAAAAGAGUUUGCGACCUCGAUGUUGAAUUAAAAAUUUCUUUGUGGCGUAGCAGUUACAAGAGAAGGUCUGUUCGACCUUUAAAUUUUUACAUGAUUUGAGUUC
rnacentral:rRNA from 1 species